GGGGAUAUAGCUCAGUGAUAAAGCACUUGCCUAGUAUGCAUGAUGCCUUGGAUUCAAUCUUCAGUAAUGCCA
rnacentral:tRNA from 1 species